rnacentral:rRNA from 1 species
AAAUAGAACUUUGCAGAGAGAGUUAACAGGGCGUGAAACCGUUGAUUGGCAAACGAAUCGGAGCCACGAAGUCGUUUCGCUGUUAGUUGGGCGGAGUUCAGUUCGCGCCGAAAGACGCGGGCGUAUUCUCACGCUCAUCCAACCUUGUAAGCGUACACUGCAGCUUGUUAGACGAUCAGCUGUGGGCUGAGUGACGUAGAGCGAGCAAUCGCACUGCGGCACGCAUUGUCUGUUCGCUCGCGGUAGUAGUAGCGCAGCUGACUUCGGUCUUCUUGUGUUGCUGGCCGCGCGGCGGGUGAACUACAACUGAAUACUGACAAGCGAAAUGAAAACCGUUGAAAAACGUUAGAGAAAAAGCAGUUGGUCACAUGAACGUCUACACGUUCGACUGUUAGGUCUAAGCUUGGCAUUCUUGAAUUCAGACCUGCUUGCUACCAGUGGGGCAACUCCUGGUGCUUGUACGGCUUCUGUCUAAUCGGGUGUCGACUUGGCUUGGCAUUGUUCGGGCGUGAAACGAUUGGGCGUUUAUAUGAACUAAUUCGCAAUUUUAAUUGGCAGUGAGUAGGUCGGCUUUCCGAACGA